UACAGGGGGUGCAAACGUUGCUCGGAAUACUGGGCGUAAAGCGUGCGCAGGCGGUGAUGUAAGACAGUUGUGAAAUCCCCGGGCUCAACCUGGGAACUGCAUCUGUGACUGCAUCGCUGGAGUGCGGCAGAGGGGGAUGGAAUUCCGCGUGUAGCAGUGAAAUGCGUAGAUAUGCGGAGAACACCGAUGGCGAAGGCAGUCCCCUGGACCUGUGACUGACGCUCAU
rnacentral:rRNA from 1 species